AAAAUGUAACGUACUUAUUGAAAAAAUAAUAAAAUUGGAAAUCCGAUAUGAAUGUGGUCGACCCGAACCCGGUUCAGUGGAUCCAGAUCCACUGUCGUUAACAAACAAUCUCUCUAUUCAAAUCCCACCUUACUCCGGCGAGGACCUAACUCAGCGAGUCUCCGAUCGAGUCAGAUGGGGACGGGAACUAACGUCGAGUUGAAGUACGAGAUCUCACAGAACGCAUACAUCAAACUCGUCCUCCACUCCCUUCGCCACAAAACGGCGGCGGUCAACGGAGUCCUCGUCGGUCGAAUCAGCCCUAACGAAGAAGGCGUCGUGGAGAUCUCCGACUCCGUGCCGCUCUUUCACUCCAACCUCCCCCUCCUUCCUCCCCUCGAAAUCUCCCUCAUCAUGAUAGAGGAGCAUUACGUGGCUCGAGGUUUGAGUGUUGUUGGCUACUUUCACGCCAACGAGAGGUUCGAUGACGUGGAGGUCUCUGGUGUGGCUAAGAACAUUGGUGAUCACAUCUCUCGCUACUUCCCUCACGCACCGAUUCUCUUGCUGAACAACAAGAAGCUUGAAGGCUUAUCAAAGGUGUGUGUAUAUUCUAGCUUUGUGUGAGAGAUGCUUCCAAGAACUGGAGAGUGGUUGGAGCUGAUGGAGGAAGCAAGUUGCUCUUAAAAGAGCCAUCCGCCAAUGUGGUUUUGUCAGAUUACAUUUCGUCUGAGAAGUGGAAAGAAGUCAUAGAUUUUGAUGAUCAUCUUGAUGAUGUCACCAAGGACUGGCUAAACCCUGGACUUUUCAACUGAACACGGGCUUGCAAUAUAGUUAAUUAGAGUUUUGCUUUCAUCAUCUUCAGUCGAAAAACAAAAUAUUCUCAGACCCUUCUUGUUUACAGUUUCCUUUAAAUCUUGUUCAAGUAUUAUCCAGAGCUUACAGAACAGAGGUCAGUUUACUUUUAAUUGGUCACAUCUUGAACCAAAAUUUUAUCAUUUUAAUGAUAUAUUUUGGGGCUUGUUCUCGUGAUCGAUUUUUCUUUUGUCUCUUUGGUUGUCUCUUUGAUCAUUUAGUUGGAAUGAAAAGCUAUGCUUGAUUUGUU